CAGUAGCCGCGGUAAUACGAAGGGUGCAAGCGUUACUCGGAAUUACUGGGCGUAAAGCGUGCGUAGGUGGUGGUUUAAGUCCGUUGUGAAAGUCCUGGGCUCAACCUGGGAAUUGCAGUGGAUACGGGGUCACUAGAGUGUGGUAGAGGAUAGUGGAAUUUCCGGUGUAGCAGUGAAAUGCGUAGAGAUCGGAAGGAACAUCUGUGGCGAAGGCGACUAUCUGGGCCAACACUGACACUGAGGCACGAAAGCGUGGGGAGCAAACAGGAUUAGAUACCCCAGUAGUCCCUGUCUCUUAUAC
rnacentral:rRNA from 1 species